ACUUUUUUUAAGUAGUUGGUAUUCGAAACGACAAUGAGAUUCAGUCUGAUUUUGUUUCUUCUGAUCGCUGUUAUUGCUUCAGCUAAUAGUCAAAACACAAUUGGCUCAUUCUUAGUACGAGUAAUUGGGAACCGAAAUCCUCCAAGAUCCGUAUCCACCACCACAAUCAACAUCUUUGAUGCAUCUACCGUUACUCCUGGAGGAGCAGAUUUAGCAAGAGAAGACCAAGAUGUAACGACUACCAUGGAACCAACAAUGAGCGACUAGCGAAUUACCUGCACAGGUUUAUAAUAAAACAACAAAAGAAUUGCUAUGAUUCCUCAUUGCAAUUCAUGACACUCAUUGUAAUUUCAUAAAAAAUAAUGUGACUGGCAAUAAAAUAUGUAUUAAAUAAA